rnacentral:rRNA from 1 species
UGGGGAAUCUUGGACAAUGGGCGCAAGCCUGAUCCAGCCAUGCCGCGUGAGUGAUGAAGGCCUUAGGGUUGUAAAGCUCUUUUUGCCGGGGACGAUAAUGACGGUACCCGGAGAAUAAGUCCCGGCUAACUUCGUGCCAGCAGCCGCGGUAAUACGAAGGGGACUAGCGUUGUUCGGAAUCACUGGGCGUAAAGCGCACGUAGGCGGAUUUGUAAGUCAGGGGUGAAAUCCCGGGGCUCAACCUCGGAACUGCCUUUGAUACUGCGGAUCUCGAGUCCGAUAGAGGUGAGUGGAAUUCCUAGUGUAGAGGUGAAAUUCGUAGAUAUUAGGAAGAACACCGGUGGCGAAGGCGGCUCACUGGAUCGGUACUGACGCUGAGGUGCGAAAGCGUGGGGAGCAAACAGGAUUAGAUACCCCUGUAGUCCCUGAGCGGGCUGGCAAGGCGCAU